rnacentral:rRNA from 1 species
GAGACUCUGUGCGCGUGCAUAUCAAUAAGCGGAGGAAAAGAAACUAACUAGGAUUCCCUCAGUAACGGCGAGUGAAGCGGGAAGAGCUCAAAUUUGAAAUCUUCAAGGGUUUCCCUUUACGAAUUGUAGUUUAAAGAAGUGUUUUCUGUUGGAGUUUCGGUAAAAGUUCUUUGGAAUAGGACAUCAUAGAGGGUGAGAAUCCCGUAUUUGACCGUUACUUUCCAGCUGUGUGAUACACUUUCAAAGAGUCGGAUUGUUUGGGAAUGCAGUCCAAGAUGGGUGGUAAAUUUCAUCUAAAGCUAAAUAUUGGCGAGAGACCGAUAGCGAACAAGUACCGUGAGGGAAAGAUGAAAAGAACUUUGAAAAGAGAGUUAAACAGUACGUGAAAUUGUCAAAAGGGAAGCGUUUGACACCAGUGUUGUUUAGUUGAAAAUCAAUUCAAUAAUUUUUGAUUUUGAGUAGUAUUGACUUCAUCAGCUUGCUGCUUUCUUUUCAGAAAUUAUUGAAUGCACUUUUCAGUUAACAAGUCAACAUCAAUUUCUUUUGUUGUAAAAGGGUAAGAGGAAGGUGGCUUGCGCUUCGGCUCAAGUGUUUAUAGCCUUUUAUCUCUGCAAUCGGAGAGAUUGAGGUCUGCAGCGUAGAUCCUUCGGGGUUAGAUACAUUGGUGCUAAGCUAUAGCCUUGUAUAGACAACUUGUUGACUAUGCUCAGUCAUGUAGCUUACUCGCUGAUGCUAUUUUACCUACGCUUAGGAUGUUGAUCUGUAGUGCGUGCGC